AGAAAUUUUGGAGAAUGUAAAAACCAAUGAAAAGUAAUACCUACCGUUCAUAUGAGAUUUUAGAGAAUGAAAUUCCCAAAGUGGUCACAUAAAUGACUGAAGGAACCAAGUAAUCUUUACCUCCAGAGAAGUUUUGGGUUUGGGUUCUAAUUCGCAACAUUUAUUAAAGGGUUUUAUGUGGGACAUACAUAAAAGAGAGACGAAAGAUACCAGA
rnacentral:lncRNA from 1 species